AUGAACCAAGCAGAAUUAUAUGCAGUAAUUUCAAGAGAUUUAUGGCAAAUGAAUGUGAGGUAUGGACAGACCUUUCAGGUCUUUUCAUUGCUCUUCAGUGAAGAAAGGCACAAGCAAGAAAAUACCCAGCUUUCUUGUGUUAUCUUAGUGUUGCUCCUGCAGAAAAGUGACAAUGCCUGCCUGUGUAAAUUUAUGGCUUACUGUCAAAGCUUCAUUCUUGGCUGCAUGAGCAACACUAAGAAAUGGUUUUCACAUUGUUUCAGGGAAAGGGGUACAGUCUUGUCACCAUGCAGCGCCUGCAGCUGUGACUCAGGUGCUGUCAUGGGGCCUGAGCCCCUACCUCCUACCUGAAUGGCAACCUCAGUGAACAGUAGUGAGGCCUCUUUUUCUAAGUGGAAAAACCUCGAGCAAAAAUCUAAAAAUCUUAUGUUUGCAUGGCCAAGAGCAACAUGGGGUACUGGGAAAUUCCAUCAGUAAGCCAAGCAACUUCUUGGCAGCAGGAACCCUGUCUUUUUAUCUGUUUCCUUCGUUCCUAGCAUAAAUUUUAGUAAGUGCUUCUCCAAUGAGUGGUUUAGUAUGUGGACAAACGAACAUGGCUUAGAAAGGACGCUGGUAACUUAACCUCCCAGGAGUCUCUCAUUAAAACCCCCGUAUCCCAGCAGGUAUCUUUCCUAGCAGAGAAGUGAAGUCACAGAUACACACAAUGUAAAUGAUCAUGUUUUGGACUUAGGCAACAGCUGAUACAAAAACACUGCAGACUCAUCUGUGACUGAUUGGAAUACUGUACACAGUAAAUGGUAGCCUGCAUUUGAGCCUGUAUAGACAAUGGCACCCCACUCCAGUACUCUUGCCUGGAAAAUCCCAUGGACGGAGGAGCCUGUUAGGCUGCAAUCCAUGGGGUCGCUAAGAGUCGGACACGACUGAGCAACUUCACUUUCACUUUUCACUUUCAUGCAUUGCAGAAGGAAAAUGGCAGGCCACUCCAGUGUUCUUGCCCGGAGAAUCCCAGGGACGGGGGAGCCUGGUGGGCUGCCAUCUAUGGGGUCACACAGAGUCGGACACGACUGAAGUGACUUAGCAUUCACUGGAAGGACUGAUGCCGAAGCUUCCCUAUACUCUGGCCACCUGAUGGGAAGAGCCGACUCACUGGAAAAGACCCUGAUGCUGGGAAAGAUUGAAUGUGGGAGGAGAAGGGGACGACAGAGGAUGAGAUGGUUGGAUGGUAUCACCGACUUAAUGGACAUGAGUUUGAACAGACUCGGGGAGAUAGUGAAGGACAGGGAAGCCUGGUGUGCUGCAGUCCAUGGGGUCGCAAAGAGUUGGACACGACUUAGCGACUGAACAAGAUUUAUAAAAUCUAUGAAUCCAGAAAAAAAGUGUCCACUUUCCACCAGACUUUAACUUCUCAUUGAAUGUAUUUUGUAGGAUGACCGACCCUCCUCCCUUCCUGCCGUUCCUUUUCACCUGAACCUGCUUUUAACCGAAGGAUGUGACCUAGCCCAGUCCCUUCCUGCCAUGACUCCUGCCCCAUUUUACCAUUACUGUGAUCCAUUGUGAGAAAUUGCUUUGAGAACUAAAGCACAGGCUGGGUCGCUUGCAGACAGCAGCACUCGCCGUCUGCAUCCUCGGUGGGCAGGCGGCACCUGUGGCCCAGCCCGUGUGCUUUCUUCAUCGUUGUCAUCGCAGCAGUCCGUCAGUGUCUUCACCCGAUCGACUCCUGCCUGCCCUUUUUUUAAAGUCAUACAUAAUGAUUGGAAUGUCCUAUCUGGUCAAGUGCUCUAACCUCGUUUCCUUCCUAGUAUCAGCAUACUUGAAAUUCUAGCUCAAACGUAGAUGCUUUCAAACAGCAAGCUGGAGAGCUAUGGAAGGAAGAACUCGGAGCUCUGGGAAGUGUGAUAACUGACCUAAAAGUCUGCUCGUGCCAGUAGCUGGCUGUGUGAUCUUGGAUGAGUUAUCCUGCCUGGGGUCAUUUCCUACCUCUGUAAUAUGGGGAGAAAGGAGUCCAGGUGUCCCAGAUGGUCCCUCCACGCCCGAGAGUCUCACUGAGCAAUUUGGUCACCCUCGGGUGCUAUAAGGCGACACGAGACAUUCCUGAGUGACUCAGGAAGUUCCAUCUCCUGUGAUCCCAGGCCCACGUGAUGCUGAAUUGUCUGUCCUAGACCUCCACAGGAAGGUGUUCCUGGGACUGGAGCAGGUUUCGCCCUCCUGCCUGUCCUCACUGUGACCCACACCUUCAGG
rnacentral:lncRNA from 1 species